GGCCUCUCCUUAGGCGUGGGCGCCGGGCACCAAGAAUCAAGGGACAAAUCGCUUUGGUGUUUGAGACACCCCAUGGACGAUACGGCGCCGUUAGGCAAGCCUCUCCAUGGGCGUGGGCAUCGACGCGUGACCUUAUCCCAAGUGUUUAGGACCCAGAGUAGGUCUCAACUUUUGCGUUGCGGCAAUGGUAAAGCCACUGACGCCUUCACGAGGCAGAGGCCUCAUAGAUACGAAGGCGGGACAGUUUCUGAGGAACACGAUAGGGGCAAGGCACCGGGCAUACAGGGUCGCCCAACGCAGCGAAAGAAACGGGUAGAGUACAGGCAAAGCAAUCGAAGCACGUGAAGGCGAAAAAUGAAGGUAAAAUCAUACAGACGGAAUUCGAUAACUCAAAGGUACAAAAAUUGUCAUCCAUAGUUGUAGCGAAAGGGCCGAUAGUUCAAAGAAGUUACAAGUUCAUCAAAAGGGGGCAAAAACAAGUAUAAAGUGCAAGGGAGUAAGGUGGCGGUUGAGGGCGGCGGUUCAGUCAUCCAGCUCAAAGGGCACGACCUUCCCGUCGACGAUGUGAUGAGUGGAAUCGCAGUUGGAAACGUCGAUUCCCGGGUUCUCGCAGACGGCCUGGGCCAGAGCCUCUUUGAACCCCUCCUUGAAGGUGCCCGCCAUGUCAUUGAUAAGGGUUUUCUUGUCCUUCUCCAACU
rnacentral:lncRNA from 1 species